UCCAUUUCUGUUCUAUCAAGAUUUCAACUUUCUAUCUGCCUCUGUGUAUUGAUUACUGGGCAUAAGUGCUUGUUCUACAAUGGCUUACGUUCCACCACACAAGCGGCACUCGAAGGAACCGGAGAGGCCAUUGCUGACUCCAGAGCUGCUUGCUCCUCCAUUCAAGAAAAACUUAAACGUCAAGCCAUAUAAUAAGUCUAAUGUGGAAUGGACUGUAAAAAUAGUUUAUGCAGAUCAUUCUACAUCGAGAUGGCUCACCAUUGGUUUGGAUGACGAGAACCAAUUUCUGCCUUCUGUUAAUCUUAUGCCCAUUUACUUGGAGUCCACUGAGCCAAAAGUUGGAGAAAACCGUCUAGCUUUAAUCAAUACUAGUCUAGAUAAUGAAGGUGAUGAGGUGAAAUGGAAUUUGCCAAGGAGUCCUGGGGUAUCUAACAGAAAAUGUGCUGGAAGACUUGGUUUCUUCUUUUAAACACGUGAAGAAUGAAAUGAAGUGCGCAAAGCUCAAAGAAGUAAAUCCUACUUUGAUUGCUAGAGUUGGGAAAGUACUUUUUCGUAGGAGCCCUUCAAUUGACAUGGAAUCCAUCAGAAAAAAUUUGUGUCCUGAAAUCUUGAAACAAUUGAGGAAAUCAUUUUAUACAAACAUUCCUGUUUCAUAUAAGGAAAAUAUUGUGAACGAAGUUGUCCCGAAAAUUGGAGUUGAUUUCGAAGAGGAGAAAGAUACAUUCCAAAUAAAGUUGUCUGAUUCCACCAGACCAGAUGCAACUCUCUCCUGCAAAUGCUGUGUAAUGAAAGAACAUGUAAAGCUACAACUCUACAAGG